rnacentral:misc_RNA from 1 species
GCAAACUUGGUCAUUUAGAGGAAGUAAAAGUCGUAACAAGGUUUCCGUAGGUGAACCUGCGGAAGGAUCAUUAACGAGGAAAGGGUGCCUUCGCGCCCUAACCCACCCGUGUUUACCUUACCACCGUUGCUUUGGCGGGCCCGCUUCGGCCGCUGGCGUUCGCGCCAGCCAGUGCCCGCCAGAGGAUUCUAGAACCUGAUUAACAGUGACCUCUGAGUGAUUUUGAAUCGUUAAAACUUUCAACAAAGGAUCUCUUGGUUCUGGCAUCGAUGAAGAACGCAGC